ACGGCAAUGGCGGAGCCCGGGGAGCGGCGGGGCCGGGCCGGGGCACCGGGAGCGGCUGCGGCGGGCUCGGAGGCUGAGGAAGCCAACCCUGGCGAGGAGGAAGAUGAGGAGGCGUGGGAGGAUGGAGACAGCGGCCCCCAAAGGCUGGGGAAGGCCCAGCUCCAGAGCCUGUUGGAGUGCUGGCCUGGAUUUGGGAAGAGCCAAGUAUACUGGAGCUGUGAGGUUUUUCCUGUCAGAAAUCCAUGAUGGGGAUGUUUUCCCUGGCUAUCCCAAGUGGAAGGAACAGCUUUGGAGUCCCCACAGGCUGGGGAUGCAUCCCCUGAAAACCAGUUCAGGAUUGUUCAUCUGACUCUGCCUCUGACCUGUGACUUCCAGGGACCCUCCUGGUAUCCUGGAUUUUCCCAGGAGAGGAUAUUCCAUCACCUGCCUUUUGAGCCAGGAAUUUCAGACCCAGUAAUUCAGUGACAUUCCAUCCAAGAACAUCCCAAAGUGCCUCCUCACCCUCAUGGACAGCAGGAACGUCUUCCAUGGCUCCUGUUUAGGAAUGGCAGUGGCUGUUGGGAGCUCUGGCAGGAGCACCUGGAGACCAGCAGGAAAACAUUUAAACAAGAGGUGCCAAAGAGAAUUGGAGCUUCUGCACAAUGAAAUCUGCAAGAAUCCAACUUCAAAUCCCCCUGGAUUGUCACCAGUCCAACUUCCAUGGACUGGUCACCGUGGCCAGGAGUGCCCAAUCCUGCUGGAAAUGCACUGGACCAGGAUGUCAUUUUCACUUGAUGCUGGUAAAGACCCUCUGGGUGACCCCCAGUCACUGGAAGGACCAGACUGGGCUCCCAGGGCACUAAUUCCAGGGGUUCUGUUUUUGGGAAUAGCACAGGAGCCUUUCCCUUGCCCAGAGGAGCAGCAAGUGCCUCAAAUCCCCAGGAUGGACACAGAGAAAAUAACAGGAAUAUGGAAAUCCCCCACACUGGGAGUUUGUGGUGCUCUGGAUUACAUUUUGGAUUUAAAAUGUUAAAGGAGGGUGUGGAGGGGCUUUUCUCUCUCUCCUGUUCAUUAUCAUUCUCACUGCUCUUGUUGCUCUCACUGUUAUUGUGUGUUGUCAUUAAUGUUAAAUUAUUGUAUUUGACUGGUUUCCAUUAUUAAACUGUUCUGAGCUGGA